ensembl:lincRNA
CAUGUUACUAUGGCAGCGGGAUACCGAGCGAGCCGGAAGUCAGUACAGUACUUCCGCUUCCACAACACUUCCGGGUUGGAAGACUAGGGUCUACGUUAUCUCGGGGAAUAUGAUGGAUGGAGACUCCAGAAGAUCUAAAACCCACACUGCAGUUUUUUACAAGAAAAAGAAACAGUCUUCUGUAUCUCAGAAAAGACCCCAGACACAAUCCCCUGAGAAUUUAGAGAGUGAGCAUCUUCAGGUGUCCAAGCUGGGGAAGAGGAGGGAAUCCCAGACACCAGCCCCUGAGAGCUUGGAGAAUGAGCAUCCUUUGUUGUCCAACCUGGGGAAGAGGAAGAAGGAGUCUCAGACACCAGCCCCUAAGAACUUGGAGAGUGAGCAGCCUUACAAAGCCAAGAGGAAAAAGAGGAGGAAGGAGUCCCAGACACCAGCCCCUGAGAGCUUAGAGAGUGAGCAGCCUUACAAAGCCAAGAGGAAAAAAAAGAGGAGGGAGUCCCAGACGCCAGCCUCUGAGAGUUCAGAGAGGGAGCAGCCUCACAUAGCCAAGAAGAAGAGGAAGGAGUCCCAGACGCCAGCCUCUGAGAGCUCAGAGAGUGAGCAGCCUCACAUAGCCAAGAAGAAGAAGAAGAAAAGGAGGAAGGAGUCCCAGACGCCAGCCUCUGAGAGCUCAGAGAGUGAGCAGCCUCAGGUGUCCAGUCUGGGGAAGAGGAGGAAGUUCCAGACACCAGCCUCUGAGAUCUCAGAGGGCCAGCAGCAGCUUCACAUAGCCAAGAGGAAGGAGUCCCAGCAACUUACUUCUUCCCUUCUGAAAAAUUCAGAAACCUUCCAUAAAGCCAAAAAGACCACUUCUACCCAUAAAAAGAAGAAGAGAAGUAGUGUUUGGGAGGUGGAUAUGGAAACAGGGAUCAUCCUUGUAAAUAAAGAAAACAUGGAGAACCUGCUAGAGAGUUCUAGGAAAGAUGUAGAUAUUGUUUAUGUAGAUAUAAGCAAGGGACAGAAGUCAGCAAAAGUGGACAAAGCAGAGAAGCUGUCCAUUGCUGAGUCCCUGAAACAUGACUAUCAAGAGCUACACAGUGAUGUUAAGAGGAAAAAGAAUCAAAAGCAUCCAAAGAAAGUUGUAUCCUGGGAUGCAGUAGAGGAAAGCCAGCCUGAGAGCAUCACCCUGCCCCACUCGGAAUCCUUGUCUUCUGUGCAUCUGGAAGGCAGAAGCACAGGACUAUUGGUAUCUCAUAAAAAAAUGUCUAAGGAAAAAGUGUCCAGGAACCAGGAAUUGGGAGCCGUGCCUGAGAGUCUUGAUAGUGCACACCCUGGAGGAGAUGGCGAGAGGGUCAAAGGAUCCGACAGAAGCAGGAAAAAGACUAAGAAAGGGAAGUGUGCGUCUGUUGCUAUUGCCACCUCUAGUGACAAUGUCCCGCUGCUUGACAACUAUGCUGAGAAUGCCUUCCUGGAUUCAUUAGAAGGCGGUGAUGCCUUGAGGGAAGAGGAUGUAGACCGCAGACCAAGGAAGGCAGAAACCCAGGCUUGUUCUAGCGAGAAGCCUGCAGAAGAGAUGCAGGGGGUAGAAUCUACCCGUGAAGAAGAAAGCAGUUUGGAAUCAGCCAGCAAUUCCGCAACAAGAUAUGUAUCUGAAGAUGGGAGAGAUUCUGAUGAAUCGGAUGUGGAUUUGGGCUCUGCAGUGAGGCAGCUCAAAGAGUUCAUUCCUGACAUUCAGGAAAGGGCAGCCACCACAAUCAGACGCAUGUAUCGGGAUGACCUGGGGCGCUUCAGAGAAUUUAAGGCACAAGGUGUUGCUAUUAGAUUUGGCAAAUUUUCUGUUAAAGAAAAUAAACAAAUAGAGAAAAAUGUGCAAGAAUUCCUGUCCCUGACUGGAAUUGAGAGUGCAGACAAGCUGCUAUACACAGACCGAUAUCCAGAGGAAAAGUCUCUGAUCACCAACUUAAAACGGAAGCAUGCAUUCAGACUGCACACUGGUAAGUGGAGGAAUGGACUCAAGCACCCUGGGCCUUCCCACACUCCCUCAGUGUGCGUGCGUGCGUGCGUGCGUGCGUGCGUGCGUGCAUGUUGGAAGCAUGCAUUCAGACAUUGAGACUGCACAUUGGUAAAUGGAGGAAUGGACUCAAGCACCCUAGGCCUUUCCACACUCCUCCUUUCUAUAUAUAGUUCUAAGUGUGUGUGUGUGUGUGUGUGUGUGUGUGUGUGUGUGUGUGUGUGUACAGAUACUUAUUCUGAAUCCCAUGGGAUUUGCAAUGUGUCCGUAUCUCUCAAAUUAGUGCUUCUGUGGAUUUUGUGAAAAAGUAAGUGACCUUCUACCCUUGUCUACUUGGCAAUAAUUAUGACUUCUGUAUGAAACAUAUCCUUUCCUUGCAUCGUGGUCUUCUAAGUUCCAUGCUUUGAGCUAGAUCCCUACUGGUGAGUACUGCUGAGAAAGUUAGGAGGUCAGUAAGUCCUGCCAGAGCGGCCCCACAUCCAGAAGUUUGUGGACAGCACAAAUUGGACACCGGGUUGUUAAAGAAGAAAAUGACACACAAUUGGGGACAUAGAGAGGAGGAGGUGGAUCUUGGAGGAUUUAGGGAAAGAGAAUUGGGAGUGAAUAUGAUCAAAAUACAUUGUAUGAAAUUCCCAACAAAUUAAUUUGAAGUAUUGUUUGUUUAUUUUAUUUUUAUUUCUUCAUCUUUUCAAGAAAGGGUUUCUCUGUGUAGCCCUGGCUGUCCUGGAACUCACUCUGUAGACCAGGCUAGCCUCAAAUCCAGAGAUGUACCUGCCUUUGCCUCCCCAGUGCUGGGAUUAAAGGCGUGCGCCACCAUGUCCAGCAAAAAAUACAUUUAUUGAAAAAAAGUUCAAUAGUCGCAUCAGGUUCCUCAUGAAAGAACCUUGUUUGAAUCUGAAGAUGGUAAUUUCAUAGGUGUGCUCUGGACUACACAGGAAAGCAGGAUGAUGGCCCCUGGGAAGUGGGAGACGGGAAAGGCUUGGCUGGGGAGAGGGCUGGUCCUCUGUAGUGCUCCUCUAAAGUCAUGCUGAAAUGGCAAUCCAGUGAGGGUCUUGAGUGGAUCCUUGAACCAGUUGUGCACCGCGCACAGGGCAGUGUUAACUGUACAUCUGUUCUAACAGUGAGGGCUAUGAAGUCCCAGCAUAGCUACACAUGAGUUAAUCGUGUUGCAAAGGGCACUACUGGGUUACUUUGGCAUCUGUGACCAUGUUGCCACCUCUCUGACUGUCUUGUUUUGUUUUGUUUUUCAAGACAGGGUUUCUUGAAAAACCUGUAGCUUUAGAGGCUGUCCUGGAACUCACCCUGUAGCCAGGCUGGUCUCGAACUCACAGAGAUCUGCCAGCCUCUGCCUCCCCGAGUGCUGGGAUCAAAUGCGUGUGCCACCAACACCCGGCUCUGACUUUGUCUUCUAUCUGUAGGGAAAGGCAUCGCUCGGCCAUGGAAGCUUGUAUACUAUCGUGCAAAGAAGAUAUUUGAUGUGAAUAAUUACAAAGGCAGGUAAGAAAGUCUCACCAUUUGGGCCAGAAUUUAUCCUGAUGUCAAGAAACAUGGUACAAUUCUGUGGUGCAUGCAGAAUGCUAGCAUGGCUCAUACUCUUCUCUCUUUCCCAAAUAAAGUCCCCAACUUUUCAUUUGUGUGUCCAACAUUCUGCAUUGUUUUUGAAUUACAUUUAAUUUUUCUUUUGUGUGCAUGCUUUUUAAGAGAGUGAGGAGUUUGAACUGAGGCAUUCAUUCUGACUUGGUGAACAUGGUACCUACUGAGUCAGCCCGUUACUUUUCUC